UGUUGCGGUGAAUACGUUCCCGGGUCUUGUACACACCGCCCGUCAAACCAUGAAAAUGACCAACACCCGAAGUCCGAUUCGUCGGCCUAAGGUGGGGGGCAUGAUUGGGGUU
rnacentral:rRNA from 1 species